AGAGUUUGAUCAUGGCUCAGAUUGAACGCUGGCGGUAUGCUUAACACAUGCAAGUCGGACGGCAGCGGGCCCUUCGGGGCGCCGGCGAGUGGCGGACGGGUGAGUAACGCGUAGGAAUCUGCCCUGUAGUGGGGGACAACUUAGGGAAACUUAAGCUAAUACCGCAUACGCUCCUUCUCGGAAGAGGGGGAGGAAAGCGGGGGACCUUCGGGCCUCGCGCUAUGGGAUGAGCCUGCGUUGGAUUAGCUAGUUGGCAGGGUAAAGGCCUACCAAGGCGACGAUCCAUAGCUGGUCUGAGAGGACGAUCAGCCACACUGGGACUGAGACACGGCCCAGACUCCUACGGGAGGCAGCAGUGGGGAAUAUUGGACAAUGGGCGCAAGCCUGAUCCAGCAAUACCGCGUGUGUGAAGAAGGCCUGAGGGUUGUAAAGCACUUUCACUGGGGAGGAAAAAGUGGCGGCCAAUACCCGUUACCUUGACAUUACCUAGAGAAGAAGCACCGGCUAACUCCGUGCCAGCAGCCGCGGUAAUACGGAGGGUGCGAGCGUUAAUCGGAAUUACUGGGCGUAAAGCGUGCGUAGGCGGCCUGUUAAGUCAGAUCUGAAAGCCCUGGGCUCAACCUGGGAACGGCAUUUGAAACUGGCAAGCUAGAGUUAGGUGGAGGGGAGUGGAAUUUCAGGUGUAGCGGUGAAAUGCGUAGAUAUCUGAAGGAACACCAGUGGCGAAGGCGGCUCCCUGGACCCAAACUGACGCUGAGGUACGAAAGCGUGGGUAGCAAACAGGAUUAGAUACCCUGGUAGUCCACGCCGUAAACGAUGUCGACUAGCCGUUGGGCCCUUAUAGGGUUUAGUGGCGCAGCUAACGCAUUAAGUCGACCGCCUGGGGAGUACGGCCGCAAGGUUAAAACUCAAAUGAAUUGACGGGGGCCCGCACAAGCGGUGGAGCAUGUGGUUUAGUUCGAUGCAACGCGAAGAACCUUACCUACCCUUGACAUCUACAGGACUUAGCAGAGAUGCUUUGGUGCCUUCGGGAACUGUAAGACAGGUGCUGCAUGGCUGACGUCAGCUCGUGUCGUGAGAUGUUGGGUUAAGUCCCGUAACGAGCGCAACCCUUAUCCCUAGUUGCCAGCGCGUAAAGGCGGGAACUCUAAGGAGACUGCCGGUGAUAAACCGGAGGAAGGUGGGGACGACGUCAAGUCAUCAUGGCCCUUAUGGGUAGGGCUACACACGUGCUACAAUGGCCGGUACAGAGGGCUGCGAACUGGCAACAGUAAGCCAAUCCCACAAAGCCGGUCCCAGUCCGGAUUGGAGUCUGCAACUCGACUCCAUGAAGUCGGAAUCGCUAGUAAUCGCGGAUCAGAAUGCCGCGGUGAAUACGUUCCCGGGCCUUGUACACACCGCCCGUCACACCAUGGGAGUGGGUUGCAAAAGAAGUAGGUAGUCUAACCUUCGGGAGGGCGCUUACCACUUUGUGAUUCAUGACUGGGGUGAAGUCGCAACAAGGUA
rnacentral:rRNA from 1 species